UGAGAUAUUCCACACAACACUCAGCUUAUCUGGAAUCCCUUUCUCUUGCAGGGCCAGAGAAAAAUCACAGCUUCCUCUGAGGGAAGCAGCACAGAGGACCUGAGAAAUGUGACUUCACCUGGAGCAAGAUCUUUUCUGGUUUGGCAAUCCCAACCGUGCCAGCCUUAAAGGUCCAACCUACCCCUGGAACCCAGAGAGCACCUAGAGCAGCAAAAACCCGAAGUGCUGCUGCCUCUGGUGACUGUGUGAGAAUCAAAACUUCUGAGGGAAGGCAGUUUGUUAAAACUGUGAUUCCCUCUCCUCAGCGAUAACAUGGAUGAUCUGGUCUGAAAGCGAAAGCAAGCCCUUAAGACAGAAUGUCUGGAGUACAGAUGGCCAGACUAUCAACAGCAUAAACCCUGGUGAACAAGGAUGGAGAGAAUUAGAGAACCCAGGACACUCCCUCCCCCACUACCCGGUAGAAAACAAGUGAAAACAUGCCGUGAUCCACAGACAACAUACUCUACCUGCUUGAAGAAUACCAACAUUGUCAAUAGUUGACAUUCUGUCCGGUGUGAAAUUUAGCCAACAACUGUUCCAGUUUGUUAGUAAAUUCUCCUUCCAUGUCUUUAUUCUUGGCUCUAUUUUCUUUGUCUUUCUUUUGUUAUUUUGCUUUUUUAUCUCCACAUUUCUUCAUUAUUCCUCACAUGUAUUUCUAUUCCUACCUUUAUUCCACUCUUCUUUAUUAUCUGAAAGUGCUUUCAGAAGAAUCAAGUGCUACAGAAAACUGUAAAGUUGUUAUAUCAUUAUUGUUCUUACCAUCUUCAUUAUUUAUGUCAAGACAUUUUUAAAGGUCUUUUGCAUUCUCACUAUUGUAUCAACAACGUGUUCCUCUAGCUUUUAUCUUAUCUGGUCUCCUACAGAUAUUUCAGAAUAUGGCACAUAAAUGUUAAUAAUAGAAGAAAGUUGAAUAGCUUUAUGUUAACUUCUUUUAAUCUGGAAAUAUCCAGUGAGUUAGGGAAUAUUCAUUGUACACCAUCUGCAGACACAAUUGCUGUACCCAAGCUAUAGAGAAAUUCCAAAGACAGAGAAGACCUGUUUCUUGACCUUAGAGCUUUGAGCCUAGUCAAGCUGACAAAACACACAAUAAGCAACUGAAGGGGACAUCUACAAGAUAUGCAGAUAACUAGAGUUCAAGUGGAGGAUGAAAUUUGACUUGGCCAGGUGGAAACCCACGUAAGGUUUUCCUAAGAUGAAUUUCAAGAGGGAAAAGAAAGAGAUGAGACAUCUAGGAGAAUAAGGGCAUUCUAUCUGACCCACCAAUGUUAUUGAAUUAUUUUCUUUAGCUUUUUUCAGUCUCCUAGGGACUAUCCAGUUUUAUGAUUCCUUUCUUAUUUCUGUUCUGAAUACAUUACAAAAGCUGCUUUGGAACUUUAGAAAGCUCUAAUACAUCUUACU